UCGCAAGGCCUUGCUGGGCCUCGGCUUCCUGGCUGGCUCUGAUUGGAUGAGAUUUGUCCGGGAGAGACUGGCUCUGCGAGCCCUCAAAAGCGCGUGCGUAUAUUUUGGACCGCGAUGACUAAGAUGUCAGUGGUGGCCAAAGGGGGCGCCGGGAAGCUGAAGAAAAAAAGAAGCAGAAUGUUGGAUUAAAGGAGGCAGGAUGGGCCAAAUACUCCUACACGGUCCACGCAAAGAGGGGUUGGACGAGCUCGGGGAAGGUUAUCAAUUUACUUCUAAGAAUUCCCCAAAAGGAACAAAUGGAAAAUACAAUUUCAUCUGCUUCAUUUGCAAUGUCACAAAUAUGGAUCAUUUUCAUAAAAUUCAUCCCAUACUCCUGGGAUGAAAGAGUUGAUGAGGUCUCUGAGGUAUCGCCACACCGUCUUCCACAAUGGUUGAAG